rnacentral:rRNA from 1 species
AGCGAACGCUGGCGGCAGGCCUAACACAUGCAAGUCGAACGAACCUUUCGGGGGUAGUGGCGGGCGGGGGAGUAACACGUGGGAACGGGCCUUUAGGUUCGGAAUAACUCAGGGAAACUUGUGCUAAUACCGAAUGUGCCCUUCGGGGGGAAGAUUUAUCGCCUUUAGAGCGGCCCGCGUCUGAUUAGCUAGUUGGUUGAGGUAAUGGCUCACCAAGGCGACGAUCAGUAGCUGGUCUGAGAGGAUGAUCAGCCACAUUGGGACUGAGACACGGCCCAAACUCCUACGGGAGGCAGCAGUGGGGAAUCUUGCGCAAUGGGCGAAAGCCUGACGCAGCCAUGCCGCGUGAAUGAUGAAGGUCUUAGGAUUGUAAAAUUCUUUCACCGGGGACGAUAAUGACGGUACCCGGAGAAGAAGCCCCGGCUAACUUCGUG